rnacentral:lncRNA from 1 species
UCUGGGUUGACACUACUGCGAUUCGCGGUUUAAGGUUCUGGGUUCGAUUCCUGGGGAGACCCCCGAAUUAGUCGGGAGCGCGAGAUUAUGGCUAGCUGCUGAGAUGUGGAGUUGAGGUCGCAGUUGAUGGACCAGAUUCGCACGCUAGAUUGGUGGCGAUUGCCGAACCCUCCGUCUCUUCGGUUGUUCGGGUGAAUGGAUGAGGAGGGGUCCUAGAUGGCUGGACCCGCCGCCUUGGACUUACAGUUCGUAUGGCGAAGUAUAGUGUGGUAGUGGUGGACGGUGCUAUAAGAUGACAAAUCGUAGAACUGACAAUGUGAUAAAGCGGCCCAGAAGCCUCCCACUCUGUAACAUUACAUUACAGAUAGACUCCCAGGGGGCGCUUAGCUUGGGAAAUCAUCCGAUUACGUCUGCUCGGUCGAAACACAUCGACGUGCAGCACCACAUAGUGCGUGAGAGGGUGAAUAGUGGGGAGGUGCAGUUGGAGUACUGCCCUACAGAGUGGAUGGUAGCGGAUGCGCUCAUGAAGGCACUGGGAGAAGUGAGGUUCAAACGGUGCAGAGAAGCUAUUGGUGUUGUGUGACAUUGGCGGAGCAAAUGUGCUACUGCGAGUUGGGAUAUGUCCCGAGGGGGCGUGUUGAAGGCCGGUCCUAUCCCAACGUAGUUAGGCGAUGAAUCCGCCGCGAUCGGCCGUGCCUCGACCUUGCCUCGGCCGUGCCUCGAGCUUGCCUCGGGUCUCUCGGCCGCGUGUCUCGGACGUGUCCUCAGGUCCAGGGAUGGUGGACGACUGUAUGAUACUUCCGUUGGUAUCGGUACAUAAGACCAAAAUGGUGCAUGUCUUUCUAUCUCAUCUUCGGAUGGAUCGGUAUUCCUUCAUAGGAAUCUCCUAAAGUCUUCUUGCCGUUCACCACUAACCCACAGACUGUAACCCUUAUAUCGCGACCAGUCUCCUUGCCUCCUUCAUAUUCUUAACAGUCCACCCGUUGGGCCACCCGUUCUGCCUCUGUUGCUGGGUAUCUAUACCAGCAGCGCUGCCCAACCUGCACCUUAACACAGGGCCCCUUCCCUGUGUAACUAGUACACAAGUCAGUGCCAUUCACAUGGCCCCUGUACACGCUCUCCGUAAUCUGCUCUUCACCCUCUUCCUGGUAUCCCCGCCGACCCAGCCCCUGGUUUACAGCCACCACUACACUGGCAGGCGCGCUCAGCCGCGGUCCAUCGCGGGCCCCCCACCGUGAGGCGUUCCCAGUCCCGGGUUUACUAGGAUCUGGGAGCCCGCACCCACUGGGCUCCGACUUGCGCUCCUCUGGUCAUGGAAGCCGGGAACCCCCGAUUGCCACCCUUCCCAUGCCGCUCUGUUGCCCACACUCAUCCUGCGCUUGCUGUCAACCUCCUCCUAAAUUCCUUAGUAGGCUGUGAGUCAGCUGCCCAUGCGCCUCUUGUAACUUCACGGCCGUGCACGUGAACAGUACCACUGCCGGCCAGGUUCACUCCCACAACUCCUUGAACAUCGGAGGCUGACACCACGGCCUGGAGGGCUGCCUCUAACCCGAACACCUGGAACUCGUGGGCCUGCUGCUGUAGCUUGAACACACUCGUCUCCACCCAGCUCCACUGCACCAGGUAUCCGGCAAUUUGCCCCGUGAAGUGUCCUUUGAGAAGCGUGUUUGGCUUUUGCCCGAUGUAUGCCCCAACGUGCUGGUGUUGCGGCCCUGCAGAAUCCAUGCAGCACUCAUGCAACUUCUCUUCUCCCGCUCUGGCAUCACACGGCUACGGGUUUACCGCCCGCAGUGCGUGGUGGCUUUGCGUCAUUACUCUAACCUGGACCUCCGGGGCCUCCCACAGCUGUGAUGUUGGGACUCGGCCAACAACCUCGUAAUGCAGCGCCUCCGGGCUGCCAUGUUGUUUCCUUACGGCGGCCAUGCGCCUCUUGGAUGGCCUUCUCCCGGACGCCACGGUUCGCCUGGGGUUGCUCUUCCAGGCCAGUGGCUGCUGCCGGAUACAGGGCUCCCGCUCCCGAGUUGAUGAGCUGUGUCUCCCGGGCCUAAUCCUCAGCCAAGCGUCUGACUGCUGCCGUUUAUCCUCCCGUCCUUCCCUGGCUUCCGCACCCCAAAUGCUGCUGUCCGAGUUAUCUCCCCUUUCUGGCUCCAAGUCCUCCUCGUCCACUUCUGGCCCCAUGCACUCCGUCUGGGUGCUGCACUACACGAGAACAAUCGCGCUGGGGUUGGUCCUCCGCCGGACACAACACAACCUACCAGCCCAAAGCAACUCAGCCUGGGUACUUCGCCGUGUGAGAGCAAACCCCUGGGGUUGGCCUUCCGAAUACAUGCGACCGAUCCUCCUGGCCCCAAGGCAACUCAGCCUGGGUGCUUCACUAUUGGAGAAUUGGCGACGGUGACGGCUAACGCUGAUCUCNNNNNNNNNNNNNNNNNNNNNNNNNNNNNNNNNNNNNNNNNNNNNNNNNNGUCGGGAGCGCGAGAUUAUGGCUAGCUGCUGAGAUGUGGAGUUGAGGUCGCAGUUGAUGGACCAGAUUCGCACGCUAGAUUGGUGGCGAUUGCCGAACCCUCCGUCUCUUCGGUUGUUCGGGUGAAUGGAUGAGGAGGGGUCCUAGAUGGCUGGACCCGCCGCCUUGGACUUACAGUUCGUAUGGCGAAGUAUAGUGUGGUAGUGGUGGACGGUGCUAUAAGAUGACAAAUCGUAGAACUGACAAUGUGAUAAAGCGGCCCAGAAGCCUCCCA